UACAGAGGUCCCAAGCGUUGUUCGGAUUCACUGGGCGUAAAGGGUGCGCAGGUGGUCGGGUAAGUCUGAUGUGAAAGCCCGCAGCUUAACUGCGGAAUGGCAUUGGAUACUAUUCGGCUAGAGGGUUGGAGGGGGGACUGGAAUUCUCGGUGUAGCAGUGAAAUGCGUAGAUAUCGAGAGGAACACCAGUGGCGAAGGCGAGUCCCUGGACAACUCCUGACGCUAAGGCACGAAAGCUAGGGGAGCAAACAGG
rnacentral:rRNA from 1 species